CUUAACCGGGCGUUAAGUUGCAGGGUAUAGACCCGAAACCCGGUGAUCUAGCCAUGGGCAGGUUGAAGGUUGGGUAACACUAACUGGAGGACCGAACCGACUAAUGUUGAAAAAUUAGCGGAUGACCUGUGGCUGGGGGUGAAAGGCCAAUCAAACCGGGAGAUAGCUGGUUCUCCCCGAAAGCUAUUUAGGUAGCGCCUCGUGAAUUCAUCUCCGGGGGUAGAGCACUGUUUCGGCUAGGGGGCCAUCCCGGCUUACCAACCCGAUGCAAACUGCGAAUACCGGAGAAUGUUAUCACGGGAGACACACGGCGGGUGCUAACGUCCGUCGUGAAGAGGGAAACAACCCAGACCGCCAGCUAAGGUCCCAAAGUCAUGGUUAAGUGGGAAACGAUGUGGGAAGGCCCAGACAGCCAGGAUGUUGGCUUAGAAGCAGCCAUCAUUUAAAGAAAGCGUAAUAGCUCACUGGUCGAGUCGGCCUGCGCGGAAGAUGUAACGGGGCUAAACCAUGCACCGAAGCUGCGGCAGCGACGCUGAUGCGUUGUUGGGUAGGGGAGCGUUCUGUAAGCCUGCGAAGGUGGCCUGUGAGGGUUGCUGGAGGUAUCAGAAGUGCGAAUGCUGACAUAAGUAACGAUAAAGCGGGUGAAAAGCCCGCUCGCCGGAAGACCAAGGGUUCCUGUCCAACGUUAAUCGGGGCAGGGUGAGUCGACCCCUAAGGCGAGGCCGAAAGGCGUAGUCGAUGGGAAACGGGUUAAUAUUCCCGUACUUGGUGUUACUGCGAAGGGGGGACGGAGAAGGCUAUGUUGGCCGGGCGACGGUU
rnacentral:rRNA from 1 species